GGGGCGUGCUCAGAGCAGGGGGCCUGAAGAAAUGGCUCCACGGUUUACGACACACCCACCAGGAAUCCGGGAAUCGUUGUGACAAGGGGCACAAAACCGUGGUCUUACUAUGGACAAACACACUACAUGU